CGAGCUUGCCUAGACGAAUUUGGUGCUUGCACCAAAUGAAACUAGAUACAAGCGAGCGGCGGACGGGUGAGUAACACGUGGGUAACCUGCCCAAGAGACUGGGAUAACACCUGGAAACAGAUGCUAAUACCGGAUAACAACACUAGACGCAUGUCUAGAGUUUAAAAGAUGGUUCUGCUAUCACUCUUGGAUGGACCUGCGGUGCAUUAGCUAGUUGGUAAGGUAACGGCUUACCAAGGCAAUGAUGCAUAGCCGAGUUGAGAGACUGAUCGGCCACAUUGGGACUGAGACACGGCCCAAACUCCUACGGGAGGCAGCAGUAGGGAAUCUUCCACAAUGGACGCAAGUCUGAUGGAGCAACGCCGCGUGAGUGAAGAAGGGUUUCGGCUCGUAAAGCUCUGUUGGUAGUGAAGAAAGAUAGAGGUAGUAACUGGCCUUUAUUUGACGGUAAUUACUUAGAAAGUCACGGCUAACUACGUGCCAGCAGCCGCGGUAAUACGUAGGUGGCAAGCGUUGUCCGGAUUUAUUGGGCGUAAAGCGAGUGCAGGCGGUUCAAUAAGUCUGAUGUGAAAGCCUUCGGCUCAACCGGAGAAUUGCAUCAGAAACUGUUGAACUUGAGUGCAGAAGAGGAGAGUGGAACUCCAUGUGUAGCGGUGGAAUGCGUAGAUAUAUGGAAGAACACCAGUGGCGAAGGCGGCUCUCUGGUCUGC
rnacentral:rRNA from 1 species